AACCUGAGUACUUGCCAGAUUCUGUGCUGGGAACUAAGGCCCAGCCAGCAGGUGUCUGGGAAUGGGUGUUGCCCAGCAGGGGCAUGUGGGCUGUGGUGGAGGUUGAAGCGCUUGGUCAAUGACAAACCUCAACCCAUCAGCAGCCUUGCCAUCUGCAUCAGGGAUCCCGUGGCCUUGGGCACUAGUGCCUGGGAUCCAGAGUCUGACCUCAAACAGUCUCCCCUAAACGCACAUUGCACCCAGCUUCCUGUAAGAGCUCUAGGCCCCCGCCUUCAGCUCUGUGACCCAGUGUCCUAAUUUCUAGCUUACAGAGCUGGCUGGAAGGACCUGGCAGAAUUGGGGGGCCUGAUGUCCCUUUCACAAAGCUACCUGGGGAGGCUGUCUUGUAAGGGAUGCUUCCAUGGCUUGUCAUCUCAAGACUCCUCUGGCAAAGUGUGCAAGACAGCGUCUGCUAGAGUCCACCAGCCAUGCGGGAAGCCUGUGGAAGGUGCUCCUCUCACCAUGAAUCCAGCACUUUCCCAGGCUCUUCUGACCCAGUGCACUCUACCUUUGGCCUCCACUCUGCCUGCAGAACCUCCAUCUGCCUUGACCAGAACUCCACUAGGCCCUGUUGCCACGAGCUCAGCUCCAGCUCACUCCUGUUUCCCAUCUACAAACUCAGGCCAUGGCCGCAGAGCUGUCGCAUUGAGUUCCUCAGCAAAUCUAUGAAUUAACUGUUUGUUGGUUUGAGUCAAGGGUGGAGGAAAUGUCCUGUAGAAAGUUCCAAGCGUGCCAGGUCUUCGUUUUCUUACUGGACAUGGGCUAGUUUAGGAGCAUCGUGUGAUGGAGUAUAAAGCGUGGACUUUGAGUACAACCGGGUCUGGGGCUGAACACAAGCUUAGCCAUUUAUGAACUGCCUGACCUAAGACAUGUUCUUAACCAUUCUGAAUUUCAGUUUCCCAAUCCGCGUAAAGAGAAUAAUAAGAUUUACCAGUAAGAGUUAUAGGAUUUAGUUUCUUUUCUGGUUCUCUGAUCUACUCAGUAAUUUUGGCAAGUCAUGUGACCUCUUCAGGCCUACUUAUCUUUGAGUGAAAAUGCAGGUCUUAGUGGUUCUCCACAGGAAUAUGGAUUUUCUCCCACCCGGGGGCAUCUGGAAGUGUGUGUGGUGUUUGUUGAUUGUCAUGAAACUAAGGGAAUCAAGAACGUAAAGUGCCCUGUAAGGGGGAGGACAGUCCCAUACAACAGAGAAUUGCUCCAUCAGAAAAUCAACGUAGCCCUGUUGUGAAACCCAACUAGAUCAUCUCUGAAGUCCUUGUCACCUUAACAUUUCAUCAUUUUACUCUAUGUCAUUGUUUCCUUACAAUUACGAUGGAUGAAGUAGAUAAUUAAAUGCUAUGAGCCACCCUGCCACACAUGAGCAUGUUUAUCAAAAUGAAAGAUGGUGGAAUAAAGAACUGGCUUUUUUUGGGUUGGAGUAAAGG
rnacentral:lncRNA from 1 species